rnacentral:miRNA from 1 species
UGCAUUUUUUGGUAAAAAGAUGUUAACGAAAGUUGUUCGUCUUUAUGAGGGCUACAACUUUGCCUAAUAUCCUUUUAACAAAUUAUGCGUAUUUAAGGAGAUAGGGCUGCGCAUGCGCAGAACGUAUCUCCUUACCUUUGCACUUUUUGGUAAGAAGAUGUUAAUAAAAGUUGUUCGUGUUGAUGAGGGCUACAACUUUGCUUAAUAUCCUUUUAACAAAUUAUGCG